CUCUCGACACAGUUGUCCUCACAUAUUAAGGCUCUGGUGGGAUUAGCUGCUGGAAUCUCCUGCAUUUGUUUUGUUUUCUCACAGGGGCGAAAGCGAGAAGGAGGGAGGGAGAGAGAGCGAAACGGUGGGAGGGAGGGAGGGAAAGAAGGUGGGUGUGAAAGACAAGAUGUGUUUGUGGUCUCUUUACCACAUGUCCCACAUUGCUAACGUCCGUAGCGUGAGGUAUGCGCUUGCAUACGUUUCUGCUCUGACUCUCGGAAUUGGCCAGAAUCUUUGAAAUGUCUGGAUCUUUUUUUCUCCUCGCAUCCUCUUUUUGUCAUGCUGGCCUUCCACUGACCAGCGAUGUAUUAUGUCUUAAACCCCUGAAAAGUUUCAAACCAGGAGGGAUUUCACACAGGAAAUAGUUCCAGUGGAGGUGUUGUGCGGUUGGACUGGGACUGAACUGAGGGUUGGUGUUGCUAACCAAGAACAGAGGGGAGGACUCAGAGAAAGAGAAAAAGAGUGAGGAAGAGAGAGAGAGAGAGAGCUGGCAAUGUGGUCUUCAGGAGCAUCGGCAGCCAAGUGGGCAUCAAGACACAAGACAGAACAAAUUAAGGUCACAGCGGGAACAUCCAAGCCAGAAAACCACAGGAGGGCAGAGCACAGUGACUCACCUGGAGCCUGUUGUGUUGGACCCAUCACAUGUUCUGUAAAAGGGAGCCGUUGGGAGGAUCUAUUUCAGAUCACUUUGAGGUGUAAUAGCUCAAUCUCACAGCACAGGGCACUUACAGGUCUCCUGUCUCACUCUUGCCGCGGGUCAAAGGAAGGGAAGGACUCUACCGAAUGCCAAUAAAGCCUGCAGCAGGGUGACCUUGACAGCAGGUAACCUCACAGGGUGCUCCUGCUGCGACACGGGCACAAAGGAGGUGUGUGUUUUGUGUUCGCGUGUCUUUGUGUGUGUGUGUGUGUGUGCAAUCCAUCACUGCAGGGCUACAGCAGGGUGACCUUGACAGCAGGGAACCUCACAGGGUGCUCCUUCUACUGCCACGACACGGGCACAAAGGAGGUGUGUGUGUGUGUUGAUACAGUAACAGCAGAGGACCGAACACCACACAGAGACCAAGUCCAGCAGGUCGUGUUGGUGUGGCGAUGAUGACGCAGGCGAAGAAGUCCAUGGUCAUCAAUGAUUUAUCUCCCUGUGUUGUGAUGCGAGGGGGGGGGGGGGGUGAAGCUGCGCUCUAUGACAGAUGUGGAGGGGUAUGCAUGGUGCAGAAUGAACUCCGUCUCCUUCUCAUCCCGCCCGGAGCUUCACUGAUGCUCUGUUACCCUUCAAUUGCCCCUCUGUUGUCUCCGGUCUCCCGACAUUACCCCGUCACCGCCCGAGCUCAUAAAGCCACAUUCUCUCGUUCUCUCUUCUCCUUUUUUCUCGCACUUACUCUUUCAUAGCUGCAUUUACCUAUUCUUUUAUCCUCCCCUUUGCCUACCUGUUCUCUCUCUCUAUCUCUUCCUAUCUCUCUCUCUCUCUCUCUUUCUCUCUCUCUCUCUCAGCCUCUCAGCCUCUCAGCCUCUAUAAUUUUUCAGAAACAAUCAGUGGAGUUUCCAUUUCACUGCCCAGCACUGCCGCAGUCUGAGACGUGGUACUGGGAUGGAGGGAGGAGGGAGGAAUAGAGGGAGCAACGCCACAUCUGCCUGUCCUCGAAUGGAAGAGGGAUGCAUACACACAGACAUGCGCACACAAAGCCACACACACACACAUACAAGCCACACAGACACAGGUAACUACCAAAGUAAUGAAAACACAAGUAAAUGAGGGCUACAAAGUAUAUUGAAAGCAGGUGCUUCCCCACAGGUGUGGUUUUUGAGCUAAUUACAGUUUACCCCAAUUGUUAACACACGUUUGCUGAAACAACUUCUCAGGCUCUCAAAACUCUAAACACAAAACAUAAAACAGUUUUCCCCAAACCCCACAGACAUCUUGCAAUAUGAAACACAGCAAUCAAAAUCAUGUACUCCCUGCUCAAAAUGAAACUCUGCAUACAAAUGAGACACACACACACACUAACUUAGUGACAACCGAGAUCACACUAAUGUGAUAUAUUGAAAACACUGCUAUCAGAACCUAUUUCAGUGUAAAGACUAAGAUUGUGUUCUUAUACUGUAUACUGUUUGUGUUUACUCUAACAAGAAAGGAACACAAAUGCAAAAUUUUUUGUUUCAAAUCUCAACAUGACUUAAUAUAUGUCAA
rnacentral:lncRNA from 1 species